GUGAAUCAUCAAAUUUUUGAACGCAAAUUGCACUCUCCUCGGAUAGUAUGCCUGUUUGAGUUUCAGCCUAUAAAAAAUCGACAUCGUUGCUGUUUCGCGGUGUCGUGCGUCGGCGCUUGGGGCAUCUUUAGUCUUUUGUUUUUAAGCGACUUAAAAUUUUCUUUUUGGUUCCAUGAACUUUUCUAAUAUUUAUUUCUUUACACUUUUAAGGCAUCGUUUUUUAUUAGACUUUACUAUC
rnacentral:misc_RNA from 1 species